rnacentral:rRNA from 1 species
CAUAAGCGCACAGUACCGCAUGGUACAGUGUGAAAAACUCCGGUGGUGUGAGAUGGACCCGCGUCUGAUUAGCUAGUUGGCAGGGUAACGGCCUACCAAGGCGACGAUCAGUAGCGACCUGAGAGGGUGACCGGCCACAUUGGGACUGAGACACGGCCCAAACUCCUACGGGAGGCAGCAGUGGGGGAAUAUUGCACAAUGGGGGAAACCCUGAUGCAGCGACGCCGCGUGAGCGAAGAAGUAUUUCGGUAUGUAAAGAUCUAUCAGCAAGGAAGAAAAUGACGGUACUUGACUAAGAAGCCCCGGCUAACUACGUG